rnacentral:rRNA from 1 species
UACAGAGGGGGCAAGCGUUGUUCGGAAUUACUGGGCGUAAAGGGCGCGUAGGCGGCCUGCUAAGUCGAACGUGAAAUCCCCGGGCUCAACCCGGGAGCUGCGUCCGAUACUGGCAGGCUCGAAUCCGGGAGAGGGAUGCGGAAUUCCAGGUGUAGCGGUGAAAUGCGUAGAUAUCUGGAGGAACACCGGUGGCGAAGGCGGCAUCCUGGACCGGUAUUGACGCUGAUGCGCGAAAGCCAGGGGAGCAAACGG